rnacentral:rRNA from 1 species
UACAGAGGGUGCAAGCGUUAAUCGGAAUUACUGGGCGUAAAGCGUGCGUAGACGGUUACAUAAGUCAGAUGUGAAAGCCCCGGGCUCAACCUGGGAAUUGCAUUUGAGACUGCGUAGCUAGGGUGCGGAAGAGGGAAGCGGAAUUCCGGUGUAGCGGUGAAAUGCGUAGAUAUCGGAAGGAACACCAGUGGCGAAAAGCGGCUUCCUGGUCCAGCACCGACGUUCAGGCACGAAAGCGUGGGGAGCAAACAGGG